ensembl:lncRNA
AGUCGGGAGACAGAGGUUAGUAGGGAGACAGAGGUUAGUAGGGAGGCAGAGGUUAGUAGGGAGACAGAGGUUAGUAGGGAGGCAGAGGUUAGUAGAGAGACAUAAUAGCUGGGAGACAGAGGUUGGUAGGGAGACAGAGGUUGGUAGGGAGACAGAGGUUAGUGGGGAGCCAGAGGUUAGUAGGGAGACAGAGGUUAGUAGGGAGGCAGAGGUUAGUAGGGAGGCAGAGGUUAGUAGGGAGGCAGAGGUUAGUAUGGAGACAGAGUUUGGUAGGGAGACAGAGGGUAGUGGGGAGCCAGAGGUUAGUAGGGAGACAGAGGUUAGUAGGGAGGCAGAGGUUGGUAGGGAGACAGAGGUUAGUGGGGAGCCAGAGGUUAGUAGGGAGACAGAGGUUAGUAGGGAGGCAGAGGUUAGUAGGGAGGCAGAGGUUAGUAGGGAGGCAGAGGUUAGUAGGGAGACAGAGGUUAUUAGGGAGGCAGAGGUUAGUAGAGAGACAGAG